CCCGCUGAACUUAAGCAUAUCACUAAGCGCAGGAAACAAAAAAUAACAAUGAUUGCCUCAGUAACGGCGAGUGAAGCGGCAAGAGCCCAAGAUGAGAAUCGCGAGUCUUCAGCUCUGCGAAUUGUAAUCUCAAGAGCGAACGCUGACCAGCUUCCUGAAGCCCAAGUGUCUUGGAAUAGACCGCCAGGGAGGGUGUAAGCCCCGUACGGCGUCGGGAAAACGCUAGGCGUCGCUUGAAGAGUCGAGUUGUUCGGGACUGCAGCUCUAAGUGGGAGGUAGACUUCUCCUAAGGCUUUCAACAACUAUGAGAGACCGAUAGCGAACAAGUAAUGUGAAUGAAAGAUGAAAAAUAAUUUUUAUACGUAAGAACUUUGAAAGAAUAAAAGAGAAUUAAAGAGACCUGAAACCGUUGAGGUGGAAGCGAUAGGAAGUUUCCAUUUGGCUUGGAGCUGGCAAAGCGGCGUCGAGUCUGUCGCGCGUCGGUCACCGCAAGGGGCCGUGUGCGAUUGGCGUAGCUGCGAGUUUGCUCCCUGCCAAAAAGCAAGAUCGGCUUCGCCUGCGUCAUACACCUUGCUGGGCCAGAGCUUCGGCAUCACUCAGCUGGCGGUCGUCGCGGGCGAGGUCGAGGGACUUCGUGUGUUCUUGCUAAACUGUGAUUAUUUUCCUACCGACCCGUCUUGAAACACGG
rnacentral:rRNA from 1 species